rnacentral:rRNA from 1 species
UACGGGGGGGGCAAGCGUUGUUCGGAAUUACUGGGCGUAAAGAGCUCGUAGGCGGUUUGUCGCGUCUGCUGUGAAAAUCCAGGGCUUAACCCUGGACCUGCAGUGGGUACGGGCAGACUGGAGUGCGGUAGGGGAGAUCGGAAUUCCUGGUGUAGCGGUGAAAUGCGCAGAUAUCAGGAGGAACACCGGUGGCGAAGGCGGAUCUCUGGGCCGUAACUGACGCUGAGGAGCGAAAGCAUGGGGAGCGAACGGAAU